CAGUGCCGCGGGAAUACGAGGGGGGCAAGCGUUGUUCGGAAUUAUUGGGCGUAAAGGGUGCGUAGGCGGUUUGACAAGUCUUAUGUGAAAUCUUUGGGCUCAACCCAAAGUCUGCAUGAGAAACUGUUGAGCUUGAGUAUGGGGGAGGUGAGUGGAAUUUCCGGUGUAGCGGUGAAAUGCGUAGAUAUCGGAAGGAACACCUGUGGCGAAAGCGGCUCACUGGACCAUUACUGACGCUGAGGCGCGAAAGCUAGGGGAGCAAACAGGAUUAGAUACCCCCGUAGUCCCUGUCUCUUAUACA
rnacentral:rRNA from 1 species